AGGGUUUAGUAUGGAAAAAAUAUAAGUCCCAACUUGAGCCUUACUUUUUAUUUUUCAUUACUUCAGCCUCCAUUCACUCUCCAACAGCCCCCAAACCCUCCUACAACCAUCAAAGACCACAUUAGCAAGGAUUCAACCUUCCAAAUUCGAAUCUAAGGGGUUUUACUCUUCAAAAAUGUUAUGGAGAAACUAGGCGACUUAUGGUAUUUGUUGUGCAAGGUGAUUGAUGGAGCUUGAGACUGUAGGCAAGCAAGGUUUUGGCAACACGAAGCUUAGGAAAGAAUAUGCUUUUUGUCAAGAUUAGUAGCUCACUUGGCUUGACGCCUUGUGGAGGAGUAGCUCAACUUGCAUUUGAUAGGUGUGAUAAUGACUUCCUUCUAACCUUCUAGUGUCGUUACAAUCCGUAUUGUGUUGAGUCUAGUCUUACAUUGUUUGUAUUAAAUGUUGACAUUUGGUAUUAUAAAUGAGUAUUAAGAUACUCAUGUUUACUUUAUGAUUGUGGAUUAUUCUAUUGAACACAAAAAGGGUGCAUAGAUGAUGAUACCUAUUGAAAGGACCAUAUAUGAUAAUGAUAUGUGAUUCGUGUUGGACCACAAAAACUAUAUGUUAUUCUACAGUUUUGAUUAAACAAAUGAAAUGCCACACUUUACGUUGAGAAGUU